UGCCAGCAGCCGCGGUAAUACGGAGGGAUCAAGCGUUGUUCGGAAUUACUGGGCGUAAAGCGAGUGUAGGCGGCUUCGUUAGUCGGAUGUGAAAUCCCAGGGCCCAACCCUGGAACUGCAUCCGAUACUGCGAAGCUAGAGUCCUGGAGAGGAUGGCGGAAUUCCGGGUGUAGAGGUGAAAUUCGUAGAUAUCCGGAGGAACACCAGUGGCGAAGGCGGCCAUCUGGACAGUGACUGACGCUGAGACUCGAGAGUGUGGGGAGCAAACAGGAUUAGAUA
rnacentral:rRNA from 1 species